AGAGAGAAGAAGUGAAAAUAUGUUGUGUGUUGAAGAGUUGACAUCUAUUGGAAUGCAAAAUCUGACUUGUCCAUCCCUUGCUCUUUAGUAUAAGGUGACAAUAAACCAACCACUAUCUAUUUAAGGCCUACAGACUAACUACUCGAACAAGAAUUUUCUCUAUAAAACAUAGGGGAAAGUACAAAUCACUACAAUGUGGUUACUCGCUUUUGCAAGUCAGUGGUUACAAACUUCUGCAAGUCGGCACGCGUGGUUUUUUUGUGGUAAGUAGGCACCCUAUAGUUUAUGUCCAUUAGCAAUUAAGGGCAAACCAAUGAUGCCAUCUAAUUUUUCGCUAAUUUCACAUUUUUUAUUAUUAAAAAAGUUCAAUUCCUCUCUCCCUUUCUCUUAUUCUUCUAUCCCCUAAAAUCAAAUUCCUAAAAUCUACAAAACUAUAAAAACUGGUUUUUUUGGUGAACAAUUGAGAUCCAACAUACAAAUUUUACAAACAUAUCAAAGAAAAUGGUAGAGUUUUCACUGCAAAGCACAAACCCAGUAAAAGAAUUCUAAUUCACAACUUUGCAUAGACUUGUGAAAACCCAGCAACACACAAAAUUACUAAAGCACAAAUCCAGAAACGAAAAUCAAACUCAUUGGUCUCAUGGCAAAAGAAGACCUACUUAAUCCUGCACCUAAAUUCACACAGCAAACUAUUGCAUUUGCAUAGAAGCAAACUCAUUGGAGCACCUAGCAAACAGCAGCAUGGGGGUGAUCAACGAUAACAAAGCAGCAAUAAUAAUGGGGGCUGAUCUUAAAACACCCAAAUUGAUUUGAUUGCUCAUUGAGCUACAGAGAGAAAGGGACGAAACAAGAAUCAAUGAAACAAGAAUCAAUCCAUGAAUUGAAACUUGAAAGAUGGAACCUUCGAGAUUGAUAUUGGAGAAAUAUCUCAGUUUUGAUUGUUACACAUAUCCAUGGCAACUAGAGCUCACAAUUCA
rnacentral:misc_RNA from 1 species